rnacentral:rRNA from 1 species
AUGGACGGCAUUUGCAGUGAUGGCCUUGAUCGAGCUAUGAUUCUCACUGAUAAACUGAUUAAGAUGGCUUUUCAACCCAACACCAUCACAGUUAAUGUUUUCUUUUCUCAUUUCUGUAAGCAAGGUCUUGGAAGGUGGGUCCUUGUGUGGGCUGAGAAGCUCAGAGAAGAUUGUGUUGCUCUUGAUGACGCUACACUGAAUAUACUUGACUGGGCUUCCAAGGAAAUGGAGUAUAACCCCCAGGACAGCAUUGCUGAUAUUGGCAAGUGUAUGUUUCUCGAGUUCUUAAUGCUCAUAACGUACACCACUAUGAGCAAUAGUAGGUCCCCAAAGUUUACACAUGUGCCUACCGAGACAUUGGUUGAUCCUGCCGGUAGCAGCACAAUCAAAGUUUUGGAUACUGGAUAG